UUAAACAGAGCAGCUAAGCCAAGAGGGGGUUCAGAGAAAGAAAUUCCCGCAACGGAGGAGCAUGCGCGCCGGACAUAGUGAUCUAGUGAUUUUUUUUUGUUCUGAAAGAAAAAGGGAUCCAGAUCAGUGAGAGACCAGGAAUCAGGACUAGCGGGACGGGAAAGAGACCCAAGAAGCAUAAGAGGAAUAGGUCACAGCUCCGCCAUCCUGGCUUGGUUUUGCUGGGCUCGAAGACACAAUCCUGGCCACGUAGAGCGGGUCCCUCGCCCAUUUAGGGAGAGAAAAAAAAAGCAUCAAUUAACUUAUUUACUCCCAUUAUUUAUUUUUGUUAGACGUCUCCAUUUAUAUGUAUAUGUUAAUCCCCUAAUUUAAGUCCGC